GUCCCCAGGGGCUGACUGGGUGAAAUGAGCUUCUCAGUGAUCUCAAAUCAUCUCUUUCAUGGUCCAGUUACAUUCUGACUGUCUCCAGAACCCACAGAGUGCUUCUUUCUGUCAACAACUAACACAGACCAGACCAACCAAUCAAUAUCUUUGCCAUGGUUGCACGUAAUGUGUCAGACAGUGGUGGCGCUGCUUGGCUUGUUGUGAAAAUAAUUGGUAGUAAACAGAUAAUAUCUUUUCUUCAAGGGGAAAAAGACUGAGCAUAUGAGAUGAAUGAUGCCACCAGCGACACCACAGAGGUGGAAAUCAAACUGACAGAAGGAGAUGGGGAAUGUUCCAGAAAAACAGGAGUUGGGCACAGAGGAGUCAGAAAAUCCUGGCAAAAUGUCAUUUUGGGCUCCAAUGCCCACACUUAAAUGAUAUAAUUUUGUACUUUUGUGUAUUCAAGGGUCCCUACAAAUUUUAGUAAUGCAAUUAUAUUAUAUUGUUUAAUACUAUUGAAUACUAUAUUGUUUAAUGCUAUUGUUCAGUUUUUAAUACAAUGACCCAGUGCUUCAUCCUUUUACUGCUAUU